UGUAAAUCCGAAAAAGACAGUUUGUUCAGAUUCCUGAAGCUAAACCUCCUGAACGACAGACAUGACUCCAGAGUCCCACCCUCCUUUUUUCUGUCUGCUGUGAGCCACAUAAGAUGAAGGACACUGAGAGACUGACAGCAGAGUGAGACGGUGCAACAGAGGAGAGCAGCACCAGUCAGCGUAAGACGACUUUGACUAAAAUGUACAGACCACCACAUCGACGUCCAGGUGGAAGGAGAGGAUUUGGCUUUGCAGCCAUGUUUUCUUCACCAGGAUUGGUGACCAUGUCCCUCUUGGUCUUACUCCUUGUCAGCAUUGUUCUUGUUGUCCUUUGGACUCAGUAUCGCAGGACAAGAACUCCUCAAGAGGAAAUGAAGAAGAAGGAAGUGAGGGAGGAAGAAACUGUGGAUCUGGAAGCUGAAAUCUAAGUUGUUACUUGGCUUUGUAAUCAUUUAUCACGUGGAACGAUGAGCAGGUCUUCAUGGUGCUCUUGGGGAGUAAAUCAAUAAAAUGUUCAAAAAUUA